UCUCUGGUAGUAUAUCGGAUAGUACAGCCGCCUGUCAUUGAGCAAUUCUCAGUUGAUCGCGGCAGAGCUGGGUUCGACUCCCAGCCAGAGAG